CCUACGGGUGGCAGCAGUGAGGAAUAUUGGUCAAUGGGCGCGAGCCUGAACCAGCCAAGUAGCGUGAAGGAUGACUGCCCUACGGGUUGUAAACUUCUUUUGUCAGGGAAGAAGAAAGUGACGGUACCUGACGAAUAAGCUACGGCUAACUACGUGCCAGCAGCCGCGGUAAUACGGAGGUGGCAAGCGUUAUCCGGAUUUACUGGGUGUAAAGGGCGUGUAGGCGGGACUGCAAGUCAGAUGUGAAAUUCCAGGGCUCAACCCUGGAACUGCAUUUGAAACUGUAGUUCUUGAGUGAUGGUGAGGCAGGCGGAAUUCCGUGUGUAGCGGUGAAAUGCGUAGAUAUACGGAGGAACACCAGUGGCGAAGGCGGCCUGCUGGACAUUAACUGACGCUGAGGCGCGAAAGCGUGGGGAGCAAACAGGAUUAGAUACCCGGGUAGUC
rnacentral:rRNA from 1 species